rnacentral:rRNA from 1 species
GUCUGCAACUCGACUGCACGAAGCUGGAAUCGCUAGUAAUCGCGGAUCAGCACGCCGCGGUGAAUACGUUCCCGGGCCUUGUACACACCGCCCGUCACACCAUGGAAGUCUGCAAUGCCCGAAGCCUGUGAGCUAACUUAUAGAGGCAGCAGUCGAAGGUAGAAUCAAUGAUUGGGGUGAAGUCGUAACAAGGUACC